AUACGGAGGGUGCAAGCGUUACUCGGAAUCACUGGGCGUAAAGCGCACGCAGGCGGGCUGAUAAGUUGGAUGUGAAAGCCUACGGCUCAACCGUAGAACUGCAUCCAAAACUGUCAGUCUAGAGUCUGGGAGGGGAAGAUGGAAUUAGUUGUGUAGGGGUAAAAUCCGUAGAGAUAACUAGGAAUACCAAAAGCGAAGGCGAUCUUCUGGAACAGUACUGACGCUGAGGCGCGAAAGCGUGGGGAGCAAACAGGAUUAGAAACCCCAGUAGUCC
rnacentral:rRNA from 1 species